rnacentral:rRNA from 1 species
GACGGGGGGGGGCAAGUGUUCUUCGGAAUGACUGGGCGUAAAGGGCACGUAGGCGGCUGAAUCGGGUUGAAAGUGAAAGUCGCCAAAAAGUGGCGGAAUGCUCUCGAAACCAAUUCACUUGAGUGAGACAGAGGAGAGUGGAAUUUCGUGUGUAGGGGUGAAAUCCGUAAAUAUACGAAGGAACGCCAAAAGUGAAGGCAGCUCUCUGGGUCCCUACCGACGCUGGGGUGCGAAAGCAUGGGGAGCGAACAGG